rnacentral:rRNA from 1 species
UCGAGCGGGGGAGAUUGCUUCGGUAAUUGACCUAGCGGCGGACGGGUGAGUAAUACUUAGGAAUCUGCCUAUUAAUGGGGGACAACAUCUCGAAAGGGAUGCUAAUACCGCAUACGCCCUACGGGGGAAAGCAGGGGAUCACUUGUGACCUUGCGUUAAUAGAUGAGCCUAAGUCGGAUUAGCUAGUUGGUGGGGUAAAGGCCUACCAAGGCGACGAUCUGUAGCGGGUCUGAGAGGAUGAUCCGCCACACUGGGACUGAGACACGGCCCAGACUCCUACGGGAGGCAGCAGUGGGGAAUAUUGGACAAUGGGGGGAACCCUGAUCCAGCCAUGCCGCGUGUGUGAAGAAGGCCUUAUGGUUGUAAAGCACUUUAAGCGAGGAGGAGGCUCUUUUGGUUAAUACCCAAGAUGAGUGGACGUUACUCGCAGAAUAAGCACCGGCUAACUCUGUGCCAGCAGCCGCGGUAAUACAGAGGGUGCGAGCGUUAAUCGGAUUUACUGGGCGUAAAGCGUGCGUAGGCGGCUUUUUAAGUCGGAUGUGAAAUCCCCGAGCUUAACUUGGGAAUUGCAUUCGAUACUGGGAAGCUAGAGUAUGGGAGAGGAUGGUAGAAUUCCAGGUGUAGCGGUGAAAUGCGUAGAGAUCUGGAGGAAUACCGAUGGCGAAGGCAGCCAUCUGGCCUAAUACUGACGCUGAGGUACGAAAGCAUGGGGAGCAAACAGGAUUAGAUACCCUGGUAGUCCAUGCCGUAAACGAUGUCUACUAGCCGUUGGGGUCUUUGAGACUUUAGUGGCGCAGCUAACGCGAUAAGUAGACCGCCUGGGGAGUACGGUCGCAAGACUAAAAACUCAAAUGAAUUGACGGCGGGCCCGCACAAGCGGGUGGAGCAUGUUGGUUUUAANUUCGAUGCAACGCGAAAGAAACCUU